UAGGAAAUCUUCCGCAAUGGACGCAAGUCUGACGGAGCAACGCCGCGUGAGUGAAGAAGGAUUUCGGUUCGUAAAACUCUGUUGUUAGAGAAGAACAGCGCAUAGAGUAACUGUUAUGCGUGUGACGGUAUCUAACCAGAAAGCCACGGCUAACUACGUGCCAGCAGCCGCGGUAAUACGUAGGUGGCAAGCGUUGUCCGGAUUUAUUGGGCGUAAAGCGAGCGCAGGCGGUCAAUUAAGUCUGAUGUGAAAGCCCCCGGCUCAACCGGGGAGGGUCAUUGGAAACUGGUUGACUUGAGUGCAGAAGAGGAGAGUGGAAUUCCAUGUGUAGCGGUGAAAUGCGUAGAUAUAUGGAGGAACACCAGUGGCGAAGGCGACUCUCUGGUCUGUAACUGACGCUGAGGCUCGAAAGCGUGGGUAGCAAACAGG
rnacentral:rRNA from 1 species